GGCGGCGUGCCUAAUACAUGCAAGUCGAACGGACAAGUAAGAGCUUGCUCUUAUGAGUUAGUGGCGUACGGGUGAGUAAUGUAUAGUUAAUCUGCCCUACACUGGAGGACAACAGUUAGAAAUGACUGCUAAUACUCCAUACUCCUUCUUAGCACAAGUUAAGUCGGGAAAGUUUUUUCGGUGUAGGAUGAGACUAUAUUGUAUCAGCUAGUUGGUGAGGUAAUGGCUUACCAAGGCUAUGACGCAUAACUGGUCUGAGAGGAUGAUCAGUCACACUGGAACUGAGACACGGUCCAGACUCCUACGGGAGGCAGCAGUAGGGAAUAUUGCUCAAUGGGGGAAACCCUGAAGCAGCAACGCCGCGUGGAGGAUGACACUUUUCGGAGCGUAAACUCCUUUUCUUAGGGAAGAACAAUGACGGUACCUAAGGAAUAAGCACCGGCUAACUCCGUGCCAGCAGCCGCGGUAAUACGGAGGGUGCAAGCGUUACUCGGAAUCACUGGGCGUAAAGGACGCGUAGGCGGAUUAUCAAGUCUUUUGUGAAAUCUAAUGGCUUAACCAUUAAACUGCUUGAGAAACUGAUAAUCUAGAGUGAGGGAGAGGCAGAUGGAAUUGGUGGUGUAGGGGUAAAAUCCGUAGAGAUCACCAAGAAUACCCAUUGCGAAGGCGAUCUGCUGGAACUUAACUGACGCUAAUGCGUGAAAGCGUGGGGAGCAAACAGGAUUAGAUACCCUGGUAGUCCACGCCCUAAACGAUGUAUACUAGUUGUUGCUAUGCUAGUCAUGGCAGUAAUGCACCUAACGGAUUAAGUAUACCGCCUGGGGAGUACGGUCGCAAGAUUAAAACUCAAAGGAAUAGACGGGGACCCGCACAAGCGGUGGAGCAUGUGGUUUAAUUCGAAGAUACGCGAAGAACCUUACCUGGGCUUGAUAUCCUAAGAACCUCUUAGAGAUAAGAGGGUGCUAGCUUGCUAGAACUUAGAGACAGGUGCUGCACGGCUGUCGUCAGCUCGUGUCGUGAGAUGUUCGGUUAAGUCCGGCAACGAGCGCAACCCACGUAUUUAGUUGCUAACAGUUUGGCUGAGCACUCUAAAUAUACUGCCUUCGUAAGGAGGAGGAAGGUGUGGACGACGUCAAGUCAUCAUGGCCCUUAUGCCCAGGGCGACACACGUGCUACAAUGGCAUAUACAAUGAGACGCAAUAUCGCGAGAUGGAGCAAAUCUAUAAAAUAUGUCCCAGUUCGGAUUGUUCUCUGCAACUCGAGAGCAUGAAGCCGGAAUCGCUAGUAAUCGUAGAUCAGCCAUGCUACGGUGAAUACGUUCCCGGGUCUUGUACUCACCGCCCGUCACACCAUGGGAGUUGAUUUCACUCGAAGCCCAAAUACCAAACUGGUUAUGGUCCACAGUGGAAUCAGCGACUG
rnacentral:rRNA from 1 species